GAUGAACGCUGGCGGCGUGCCUAACACAUGCAAGUCGAACGGAUCCAUAUUGAAACCUAGUGAUGUAUGGAUUAGUGGCGGACGGGUGAGUAACGCGUGGAUAACCUGCCGUAUACAGGGGGAUAACACUUAGAAAUAGGUGCUAAUACCGCAUAAGCGCACGGUUCCGCAUGGAACAGUGUGAAAAACUCCGGUGGUAUACGAUGGAUCCGCGUCUGAUUAGCCAGUUGGCGGGGUAACGGCCCACCAAAGCGACGAUCAGUAGCCGGCCUGAGAGGGUGAACGGCCACAUUGGGACUGAGACACGGCCCAAACUCCUACGGGAGGCAGCAGUGGGGAAUAUUGCACAAUGGGGGAAACCCUGAUGCAGCGACGCCGCGUGAGUGAAGAAGUAUCUCGGUACGUAAAGCUCUAUCAGCAGGGAAGAAAA
rnacentral:rRNA from 1 species